rnacentral:lncRNA from 1 species
GUAAGUGUUUAACAGUAAUGAUUUACAAGAAUGUCUGUGAACAUAUAACAGCACUGUGUUUGUGCUAGAAUUUGACUGAAGAACGACCAGCUCUCAAGAGUUUCUAGUGCAUGGAGCAAUGGCUUGCUGCAGAGCUAUCAAAAUUUAGUCUUCAUGAAUAUUGAAAUGGGUAUUAAGCAUGCUUUGAGAGAACCCACCCAAGGAUUUCAGUUAAAGACUUCCAAAUAACUCAACUGAAGGUGGAUAAUUAGCGCAGCAAAUUUCAUCUCAAAACCUACUGGUAACAGAAAAUGGGAAAAUCGGACUCGUGAUCAGAAGCUUGGAGGAAACAAUAACCCUAAGUAUUGAAUUACUCAACAAUUUUCCAGACCAUAAACCUGUUGCAUACCACACUGGCAUAUUGACAGUCUCACUGUGUUACGUAAUUUACUGUCUUUGGGGAGAUGAGAUUUGGUAAGACAUCUCUUCCCUGGAUCUUGACAUCUGAUCUAUCAAGUUCUGGGUGAAAUGGAAUAUCCAGUGAAAGCAUGGGAGCCUAUGCACUGGAGAAAGAAUUUAAAGAAGAGAUAAAGGGAGUGUUUGCAAAUAUAGGGUAGGUGUUGCGAAGUUUACUGAGCUUAACUAUAAAGGGCAUGUGACUAUGCAAAAAAUUGCUCAGUAGAGGGGGAUGGAAGCAUAUUAGGUUGAUAAGCAAAAGGGAAAAAGAAAAUCUAGAAGGAUGGACAUUCACAGAAGAUCCUAUACUGGUGAAAACCCCUCCUCUUUGAGAAAAUCUUCUUGCAAAAUACAAUUAGAACAGUCCUUUCAUCCAGAAACCCCAUGAGUGCUGACCUCAUCCCAGUAUUUAAAAAAAUGUUUUGUGCAAAAUUUUCAUCUGGGAGGUAAGAAAGCAGCAAGUUCUGUGUCUGUGUGAGGAAGUAAGACUUUGGAGAGAAAGAGUCUUUCCUACCAGAGAACUGGCAGCAACAGAAAGCAUUUGCAUGGGUGGGAAUCCUUCACCAGU